rnacentral:lncRNA from 13 species
AUGGUGAGGAUGAGGAGGGUUAGAGGUAGAGGACAGUAUUACAUGGUGAGGAUGAGGAGGGUUAGAGGUAGAGGACAGUAUUACAUGGUGAGGAUGAGGAGGGUUAGAGGACAGUAUUACAUGGUGAGUAGGUUUAGAGCUAGAAGACAGUAUUAUAUGGUGAGGAUGGGGAGGGUUAAGGGAGGACAGUAUUACAUGGUGAGGAUGAGGAGGGCUAGAGGUAGAGGACAGUAUUACAUGGUGAGGAUGAGGAGGGUUAAGGGAGGACAGUAUUACAUGGUGAGGAUGAGGGUUAAAGGUAGAGGACAGUAUUAUAUGGUGAGGAUGAGGAGGGUUAGAGGUAGAGGACAGUAUUAUAUGGUGAGGAUGAGGAGGGUUAGAGGACAGUAUUACAUGGUGAGGAUGAGGAGGGUUAGAGGUAGAGGACAGUAUUACAUGGUGAGGAUGAGGAGGGUUAGAGGUAGAGGACAGUAUUACAUGGUGAGGAUGAGGAGGGUUAGAGGUAGAGGACAGCAUUACAUGGUGAGGAUGAAGAGGGUUAGAGGUAGAGGACAGCAUUACAUGGUGAGGAUGAAGAGGGUUAGAGGUAGAGGACAGCAUUAUAUGGUGA